UUCCUCAGCCUCCUUGACCUGCAUUUCUUGUGAAGAUGUUAUUUCCUUCUUACCAGCAGCACUCCAUUGCUUUUUGCAACAGUUGUUGGACAGACCGUAUUCCAUCUCAGCAGGGACCUGGUUUAAAGGUAGACAACAUGCAACAUGUGAAGACUGGCAUUCACUCUGUGCAAGAGCCACCGAACUCCCCAAACAAGGCUGACAUCCUGGUCUGCUACCUAUAUGUAUGUAUAUUGUGGGACAGCUUAAGGACAAGAAGUCUCUAAUGAAAACAUCAGACUAACAGACAGCUACUCAUCUCUCCUAGUCCUUCUAAACCUAUUUCCUACCAGCAAAAGGAGCCUUGCAUGAAAUACCAUUUUAUGCAGAAAGUUAAUGGAUCCUUCCUAGCCACUCAGUCAAAUGUAAUGUGAUAAUUACUUCUUAUUUCACAAAUGGGAAUGACAAAGCAAUGAAAUGUGAACACCCAGAAGCGGACAUUAAACACAAGUUGGUUUUUUUCCACUGUAA